CAAAAAAACCCUAAUCUAAUCGUCUCCCUCCCUCACUCUCUCAGUCUGCUCUCUCUCUCUCUCACUCUCUCGUUGUUCAUCUCUGCACCGAUCACUCUCUCACUCUCUCGUUGUUCAUCUCAUUGCACCGAUCAUCGCACUGCCGAUCUACUCACAGAUUAGUCUCAUCUCUCUCUUUCUCUCUCUCUCUCGCACCGAUCGACUCACAGCGACGAACGAACGACGACGAACAGCCAUAGCAGAAAAGCACUCGGAGUUCUCAGAGCGAUUUCCUCACAUGGAUUUCAAUCAAAUCUGAUCAUCCCUCUCUCUCUCUCUCUCUAUAUAUAUAUAUAUAUAUAUGUUUGUAUGUAUGUAUGUAUGUAUAUGAUUGUUUUCAGAUUCUGAUGAUUCUGAUCUCCGCUACCAUUACUUUGUUCACAAUUUUACUAGGAUUUGUUAGUUUUCUAGAAAUGUGCCUUUAAUUGCUUUUUACAGUAUUAUGUGAAAUAGAGAUCAAUUUCCAUAUGACUAAUCAGCUAGUGUGAGUUCAAACCCAAAAAUUGUGAAUCAUGGGUUGAGAGAGGAGGGCAACCAAAUUUUUUAUUUAUUUAUUUUUAAUUUUUAAACCAAAGACAAAAGUAUAAAUUUUUUUAGUUUUGAGUUCUCUUUUGGCAAAAUAAAUUGUUACAUUUUAUUCUCUUCAUCUUCUGAUUUAUUUCAAUCUUAACCUUAUGUUGAC